rnacentral:rRNA from 1 species
AGAUUGAACGCUGGCGGCGUGCUUAACACAUGCAAGUCGAGCGGAAAGGCCCUUCGGGGUACUCGAGCGGCGAACGGGUGAGUAACACGUGAGUAAUCUGCCCCUAGCUCUGGGAUAGCUCCGGGAAAACCGGGAUUAAUACCGGAUACGACCACUUUAGACAUCUGUUGUGGUGGAAAGAAUUUUGGCUAGGGAUGAGCUCGCGGCCUAUCAGCUUGUUGGUGGGGUAGAAGCCUACCAAGGCGACGACGGGUA